rnacentral:rRNA from 1 species
CGUACGUACGUACGACGACGUACGUACGCANCGCCGUCCCCGUUCCCCGUCCCGCCGCCACACACUACCUACGGACGGGCGAGCAGAGUUGGGAAUAUUGGACAAUGGGCGCAAGCCUGAUCCAGCAAUGCCGCGUGUGUGAAGAAGGCCUUCGGUUGUAAGCACUUUAUCAGGAGCGAAAUACUACCGGUUAAUAACCGGUGGGCUGACGGUACCUGACGGAUAAGCACCGGCUAACUUCGUGCCAGCAGCCGCGGUAAUUC